GUCUCCGUAGCUCAGUUGGUAGAGCAAUUGACUCUUAAUCAAUGGGUCUAGGGUUCGAGUCCCUACGGGGACA
rnacentral:tRNA from 2 species